rnacentral:rRNA from 1 species
UACCCACUCCUAGAACGGGGAGGUAGUGACGAAAAAUAACAAUACCGGACUCAAUGAGGCUCGGUAAUUGAAAUGAGUACAGUUUAAAACCCUUAACGAGGAUCUAUUGGAGGGCAAGUCUGGUGCCAGCAGCCGCGGUAAUUCCAGCUCCAAUAGCGUAUAUUAAAGUUGUUGCAGUUAAAAAGCUCGUAGUUGGAUCUCGGGUACUAGCAUGUGGUACGCUUAAUUGCUGUUACUACAUGUCUGGCCCUAAUCAACCGGUUGGCCGUUGAUGUCCUUUAUUGGGUGUUUUCGGUAGCCGGUACGUUUACUUUGAGAAAAUUAGAGUGCUUAAAGCAGGCCUUACGCCUGAAUAAUGUUGCAUGGAAUAAUAGAAUAGGACCUCGGUUCUAUUUUGUUGGUUUUGUAGAGCAUUGAGGUAAUGAUUAAUAGGGACAGACGGGGGCAUUCGUAUUGCGGUGUUAGAGGUGAAAUUCUUGGAUCGCCGCAAGACGAACAACUGCGAAAGCAUUUGCCAAGAAUGUUUUCAUUAAUCAAGAACGAAAGUUGGAGGUUCGAAGACGAUUAGAUACCGUCCUAGUUCCAACCAUAAACGAUGCCAACUAGCGAUUAGCUGCUGUUAAUUUAACGACACAGCUAGCAGCUUCCGGGAAACCAAAGUUUUUGGGUUCCGGGGGAAGUAUGGUUGCAAAGCUGAAACUUAAAGGAAUUGACGGAAGGGCACCACCAGGAGUGGAGCCUGCGGCUUAAUUUGACCAACACGGGAAAUCUCACCCGGCCCGGACACUGUAAGGAUUGACAGAUUGAGAGCUCUUUCUUGAUUCGGUGGGUGGUGGUGCAUGGCCGUUCUUAGUUGGUGGAGCGAUUUGUCUGGUUAAUUCCGAUAACGAUCGAGACUCUAGCCUGCUAAAUAGUACGCCGAUCAUUAGUCGGCGCGUACUUCUUAGAGGGACAAGUAGCGGUAAGCUACACGAAAUUGAGCAAUAACAGGUCUGUGAUGCCCUUAGAUGUUCGGGGCCGCACGCGCGCUACACUGAAGGGAUAAGCGUGUUUUUCUUGCUCCGAAAGGAGUGGGUAACCCGCUGAAACCCCUUCGUGAUUGGGAUCGGGGCUUGAAAUUAUUCUCCGUGAACGAGGAAUUCCCAGUAAGCGCGAGUCAUAAGCUCGCGUUGAUUACGUCCCUGCCCUUUGUACACACCGCCCGUCGCUACUACCGAUUGAAUGGUUUAGUGAGAUCUUCGGAUUGGUCCGGAAGUGGCCGCAAGGUCGCCUCUAGGUGCCGAGAAGAUGAUCAAACUUGA